rnacentral:rRNA from 1 species
GGUACCUGCAGGAAUAAGCACCGGCUAACUACGUGCCAGCAGCCGCGGUAUACGUAGGGUGCAAGCGUUAAUCGGAAUUACUGGGCGUAAAGCGUGCGCAGGCGGUUCGGAAAGAAAGAUGUGAAAUCCCAGAGCUUAACUUUGGAACUGCAUUUUUAACUACCCGAGCUAGAGUGUGUCAGAGGGACGGUGGAAUUCCGCGUGUAGCAGUGAAACUGCGUAGAUAUGCGGAGGAACACCGAUGGCGAAGGCAGCCUCCUGGGAUAACACUGAUGCUCAUGCACGAAAGCGUGGGGAGCAAACAGGAUUAGAUACCCUGGUAGUCCACGCCCUAAACGAUGUCAACUAGCUGUUGGGGCCUUCGGGCCUUGGUAGCGCAGCCAACGCGUG